rnacentral:rRNA from 1 species
GACGAACGCUGGCGGCGUGCUUAACACAUGCAAGUCGAACGGUAAGGCCCUUCGGGGUACACGAGUGGCGAACGGGUGAGUAACACGUGGUGAUCUGCCCUGCACUUCGGGAUAAGCCUGGGAAACUGGGUCUAAUACCGGAUAGGACCAUGGACUUCACGGUUUGUGGUGGAAAGCUUUUGCGGUGUGGGAUGGGCCCGCGGCCUAUCAGCUUGUUGGUGGGGUAAUGGCCUACCAAGGCGACGACGGGUAGCCGGCCUGAGAGGGUGUCCGGCCACACUGGGACUGAGAUACGGCCCAGACUCCUACGGGAGGCAGCAGUGGGGAAUAUUGCACAAUGGGCGCAAGCCUGAUGCAGCGACGCCGCGUGAGGGAUGACGGCCUCGG